GCAGAAGUGCCUGACUGAAGUCUGGAAACGGUCCACCUGUAGAGCUUCAGGAGCAGCUUCCAAGCUUCUCACAGGGGCAGGGCAACUCUGAAGUCUCCAGUGAGGGGGUGCCCAGCUCCAUGACCACCCCAGAUCCCAUCUCCUCAAAGGUAAUUUCUGCACAUGGCUUUGAAAAUAAGGGCAUAGAGCUUCCCUCCUCAGUGGCCAGUGGUGUUACCCUUUUCCUGUCUGGGUGUGCAGUCAGCAAAGAGGGAUCCAUGGCUGCUCCUUAGCAGUCGCAGCACACGCUCCUGUUUCUUGCUUUUGUCACCUGACAGUAUAUCUCGGAGACGACUGGGAAUCAGUACAUAAAGAGUGCCUUACUCAGGUGUCUUUUUAUGGUCACAGGCUUCUCAGGGUUACAGAAGUAAUCACAGCUGGUUUGAUUAGCUUCAGAUGUUGCCAUUUACAACAUCUCAGUCCAGAGAGGGCUGGAAACCUCCCCAAGGUCACGCAGCAAGGACUAGAGCUUCUCUCCCUAGCAAGUCCCAACUCCUGCCUCCCUACCACGACCCCCCUACCUCCCCGCCACCCCAGCGCUGCCCAGGUGACCAGAAGGGAGGAAGGGAAGAGGGGCCGUCUCUAAUUGAAAUGCAUUGCGCGCUCCGGACCGGCACCUGGCGGGAUGCUCUGCAGGAGAGCGGCGCGGUGCGGAGGGGGCUGCGGCCUGGCGCCCACGUGGGAGCGAGAGAGACCGGGCUGCUUCCCCGCAAUCCGUUGCCGCGUGCUUCCCGGUAAUGAGCUCCCAGGGCCCGAGGUGAGCUUCCCCCGGCUGCUCACACGGCAGCCGCGUGGCACCAAAGAACACCGGUACUUUUUUUCUUCCCUGCCUGACAGCUCAUUAGAAGAAUUAAUUUACUCCAGCGUUUGCAGUUUAAAGGACAUUAUUUACUGGUUAAUUGUUGUUAUUACAAAAUGUUAAAUAUCAUUAUUUAUUUCCCAAGUCCUGACAGCUUCUCUGACAAGAAUUUAUGGGUGAUUGCCGUGUCACCACUGGUGGGUGUCCUGCACAGGGGCAAUGUGAGGUAUGGGAGUGGCCUUCAGGUCCUGGUGUCUUGUCAGGGAAGACUGCGCAGAGGGCCUGCAUACCAUACUGGCCCAUUGUCCCCUCUGCACCCUAAUUUCUGCCCAAUGAGGAGUGGAGGGUGGAGGAAAUCUGCUAUCAGGACACUGGUGUUUCCCUAAAUCUUCAGUUUUGGGGGUCAGGGUGGCACUUGCCAGAAGACCAGCCGCCAAGAUUUUGUGUCCUUCCAUGUAAAAGGCUGUUUAUUCCCAGGGCUCAGAAUGCUUCCAAACCAUGCAGAAAGGCCCGUGUUUUAGCUCCAACCUAACAACAACAACAAAAUGGGCUUGGUGGAUCACAUUUUGGUGGAUCAGGACCUUGGAGGUGGGAGCCAAGGGGGAUCAAGAUCAUCCUCUGGCUAAACAACAGAGUGUGAGGCCAGCCUGGGAUAUAGGAGGAACCUGUCUUAACAAAACAAAACAAAACAAAACAACAACAAAAACGAUCAAAGGUUAAUUCUCCAAAUGGGAAACCUUUGUUUCUGUCCCAGCUGAGCUGAUCGUGGUCUGAGAACAUGAAGAUCAGAAGAUGCUGGUGUCCGGGAACUGAGGACCUGCUAUCAAUCUGAGUUUGACCUGUUCAGGAGACUUCACAUAAAAGCUAAGAUUUAUGGCUUCUCUUGAAAAAUCAGAGACUCUUGACACACUUGACCUAUGGUCAAUUGGCAGUGACCUUUGGGUCACCGAAGGGCAAAGCCAUUCAAGGAAUGUGCUGGCUCUUUCCAGCUGCCGCCUGCCCCACCUGCACUGUUUCCUGGGCUCUGGGCACAUUUGAGUUUCCAAUCUGACCUUCCGUAAUGACCAUGGAGAGAUGAAGAAACAGAUUUCAAAAGCCACGGCCACAGCCUGGUCCACCCUCUCACCCUACCACACCGCCUCUUUCAAAUCUGUCUGCUUCCACCUCUCCUGGGUCAGCAUGGAGUGGGCUCUGGCAGCCCAGGAGCCAGGAGCAAGAGGCGGCCAGUGAGAAUGACAAAGAUCAUGGCUAUACAAAUGGCAUUCGUGUAUUCAUGCAGUAAAUUGUUCUGGAGGAUCUACGUGGUAUAAAAGGACGCAGGCAUACACUGUUCCAUAAAGGAACCCAGCCUGGGGAAGCUAUGUGUCACUCAGGAACGCGGUUACAAUUCGGGAAGAUGGAGAGGUUUAGGAAGAUGUGACUGGCAGGUGUAUGUGGGGAGGGAAGGUUUCCAGGGGAGAGAAUGAAUACUUCACCCAGCUGGUGGACUGCCCGUGUCCUCACGCAGACGCUCAUGUCUUACUUAAUUCUCUCAACAGAGCUGAUUGAAAAUAGCUGUCAGGAUCCAGGCAUAGCGGUGCAAGCCUCUGCCAUCGCCUGGGAGGUGGAGGCAGGAGAGGCAAGAAUUUCAAGGCUAGCCUUGGCUACAAGACACUCUGUUUCAUAACAACAAACGAACAAGGCCACAAAGAAAACCCAACAGCUAAAAAUAACUGCCAGCAGCCAAGCAGAGUAGUACAAGUCCACAUGCUGAUCUUGAGUUCAAGUCCACCCAGAGCUACAUAAUGAGACCCUAAGUCACUAUAACUGUCAAGUGGGACAUAAAUUAUCUGCUGUCAGUUAAUAAGAUGGUGACUCUACAGGCCCAAGGACCAACCUGCUGUGAGAAUCCCUGUCUCCCCCCUAGUUAGAUGCUAUAGGUCAUGCCAGCCUGGGGACUCUGUGGUCCAACAAGGCUAUCCCAGUAGUAUAGCCGAGAAAGGCAGCCCAUCACCAUCAUCUGUAUCUUACAACCUGUGUACAGGGCAGGGCUGAAUCCUCUCAUUUCACCAAUCAGGGACCAAAGGUGCAGAGGCUCUGGACAGAGCGGGCACUGCUGCCUGAGGCUGAGGCCUAGCACUGAGGAAACUUGGAGCUGAGAUCUUAUAGGCUGACUUCAAACAAAGGCCCUUUGGACAAGGGCCUUUGGUCUCAGCCUUUCCUCCCAGGGACCUUGACAGCAGCAGGUAGCCUUGAGGAAUAUACUGGAAAACCAAAGAAGAUGGAAAGUCCUUUGAAAGCGAAUGGAAAUGGGCUCAGGGAAGCCCUUCCCAAGGCUGGGCUGCAAAUUAGCAUAAAGUUAUUUCCAGACCGCAGUCUGGCUUAUUUUAGACCCUUCCUCAUUUCCUCCAGGGCAGAAGAAGCCUUAAUCCCUUGCCUGGUGAGAAAGAGACCAUCACUAUGGGAGUGAAUCGGGAGCAGAUCGGAAACUGUAGCCGCUGCGUAGAUUUUUACACUGUCUCAGAGUCUUAGGGCUUGCUGUUCUUCAUAGGUCUUCUCCAGCAGGUCUCUCAUUUUAUUUUAUUGCCAUAUUAAAUUUUUUUU
ensembl:lincRNA Gm11190 predicted gene 11190